rnacentral:rRNA from 1 species
UACGGAGGAUGCAAGCGUUAUCCGGAAUGAUUGGGCGUAAAGCGUCCGCAGGUGGCUAUGUAAGUCUGCUGUUAAAGAGUGAGGCUCAACCUCAUAAGAGCAGUGGAAACUACAUGGCUAGAGUGCGUUCGGGGCAGAGGGAAUUCCUGGUGUAGCGGUGAAAUGCGUAGAGAUCAGGAAGAACACCGGUGACGAAAGCGCUCUGCUAGGCCGCAACUGACACUGAGGGACGAAAGCUAGGGGAGCGAAUGGG